rnacentral:rRNA from 1 species
UACGGAGGGUGCAAGCGUUAUCCGGAUUCACUGGGUUUAAAGGGUGCGUAGGAGGGCAGGUAAGUCAGUGGUGAAAUCUCCAAGCUUAACUUGGAACUGCCGUUGAUACUAUCUGUCUUGAAUACCGUGGAGGUGAGCGGAAUAUGUCAUGUAGCGGAUGAAAUGCUUAGAUAUGACAUAGAACACCAAUUGCGAAGGCAGCUCGCUACACGAAUAUUGACUCUGAGGCACGAAAGCGUGGG